rnacentral:tRNA from 1 species
AAAUAUAUACUUAUGACUGAUAAAAGUAAUAAAUUGAUAAUUUAUAUAUAUAUAUAUUUAUUAAUUCGAAGUUAAAUUUAUUCA